UACGUAGGCAGCGAGCGUUGUUCGGAGUUACUGGGCGUAAAGGGUGUGUAGGCGGUUGUUUAAGUUUGGUGUGAAAUCUCCCGGCUCAACUGGGAGGGUGCGCCGAAUACUGAAUGACUUGGAGUGCGGGAGAGGAGAGUGGAAUUCCUGGUGUAGUGGUGAAAUGCGUAGAUAUCAGGAGGAACACCGGUGGUGUAGACGGCUCUCUGGACCGUAACUGACGCUGAGACACGAAAGCGUGGGUAGCAAACAGG
rnacentral:rRNA from 1 species